UACGGAGGGUGCGAGCGUUGUCCGGAAUCACUGGGCGUAAAGGGCGCGUAGGCGGCCCGGCAAGUCUGUGGUGAAAGCUCAGGGCUCAACUCUGAGUCGGCCAUCGAUACUGCGAGGCUCGAGUCUGGUAGAGGCAGAUGGAAUUCCGGGUGUAGCGGUGGAAUGCGUAGAGAUCCGGAAGAACACCGGUGGCGAAGGCGGUCUGCUGGGCCAGUACUGACGCUGAGGCGCGACAGCGUGGGGAGCAAACAGG
rnacentral:rRNA from 1 species